rnacentral:rRNA from 1 species
GUGGGGAAUAUUGGACAAUGGGCGAAAGCCUGAUCCAGCCAUGCCGCGUGUGUGAAGAAGGUCUUCGGAUUGUAAAGCACUUUAAGUUGGGAGGAAGGGCAGUAAGUUAAUACCUUGCUGUUUUGACGUUACCGACAGAAUAAGCACCGGCUAACUUCGUGCCAGCAGCCGCGGUAAUACGAAGGGUGCAAGCGUUAAUCGGAAUUACUGGGCGUAAAGCGCGCGUAGGUGGUUUUGUAAGUUGGAGGUGAAAUCCCCGGGCUCAACCUGGGAACUGCCACCAAAACUGCAUGACUAGAGUACGGUAGAGGGUAGUGGAAUUUCCUGUGUAGCGGUGAAAUGCGUAGAUAUAGGAAGGAACACCAGUGGCGAAGGCGACUACCUGGACUGAUACUGACACUGAGGUGCGAAAGCGUGGGGAGCAAACAGGAUUAGAAACCCCUGUAGUCC